AGGCUGGCAGGAAAAUCCGUCAGCUGAGCGGAGGGCUGGAGCGAGCGAUCCUACGGGUGAGCGAAGUCAUUGAUCCCAUGCUACCGAGAAAAACUUCUAAACGAGAACCUGUGGUGACCGUACCCUAAACGGACACACGUGGAUAAGGUGAAUAACCUGAGGCGCUUGAGAUAACUCUUGCUAAGGAACUCGGCAAAAUUGCCCCGUAACUUCGGGAGAAGGGGCGCCCCCCUGAGUGAAGGUCCUGCGACUGGAGCUCGGGAGGGCCGCAGUGAAAAGGGGGUAGCGACUGUUUAUCAAAAACACAGGUCUCUGC
rnacentral:rRNA from 14 species